CCUACGGUAGGCAGCAGUGCGGAAUAUUGGUCAAUGGGCGGAAGCCUGAACCAGCCAAGUAGCGUGCAGGAUGACGGCCCUACGGGUUGUAAACUGCUUUUAUACGGGAAUAACGCGCCUUACGUGUAGGGCUUUGCAUGUACCGUAUGAAUAAGGACCGGCUAAUUCCGUGCCAGCAGCAGCGGUAAUACGGCAGGUCCGGGCGUUCGCCGGAUUUAUUGGGUUUAAAGGGAGCGUAGGCCGCAUGUCAAGCGUGCUGUGAAAUGUCCGGGCUCAACCCGGGCCUUGCAGCGCGAACUGGCGUGCUUGAGUCCGCGGAAAGCAGGCGGAAGUCGUCGUGUAGCGGUGAAAUGCUUAGAUAUGACGAAGAACCCCGAUUGCGAAGGCAGCUUGCUGCAGCGGAACUGACGCUGAUGCUCGAAAGCGCGGGUAUCGAACAGGAUUAGAGACCCUAGUAGUC
rnacentral:rRNA from 1 species